rnacentral:lncRNA from 1 species
UAGGUAUCAGUGAACGAAAUCAAACAAUAUUUAUCACACAUAUUGGAACAAAGAACAUCUAGUAAUGUAAUCAAUAAAAGAGAAAAUCUCCUGGAGAAAAAGAAGAAUCAACGUAAAAUAAGAAUAAAAGGAAUUCAAAAUAAAGAUAUCUUGAAGAGAAAUAAGAAUCAUUGGUGAGAAGAAAAGAACAGGAGAAGAACUAUGAAAACAGCAGAUGUGAGGAGCAAGAAAGAUGGUGAUUGGCUGCGCUAAACUGAAAAGUUAGUGAAACUUCAAAGUUGGGGGAUUCCAACUGAUAUUUUUAAAUCAGCAAUGUCUAAGGUGACCAUUAAAAAUUGUUUUUGUUCCUAGGAUAACUCAUCUUCUCUUCUGCUCUAUGAAAUCUUAGAUAAAAUGUGUAUUCCUCAUAAA